rnacentral:hammerhead_ribozyme from 1 species
AUCUAGUUGACGAGUUCCAAAUAGGACGAAAUGCGCUCCCUGGAU